UACGUAGGUGGCAAGCGUUGUCCGGAAUUAUUGGGCGUAAAGCGCGCGCAGGCGGUCCUUUAAGUCUGAUGUGAAAGCCCCGGGCUCAACCUGGGAAUGGCAGUGGAAACUAGGGGACUGGAAUCUGGCAGAGGGGGGUGGAAUGCCGCGUGUAGCAGUGAAAUGCGUAGAGAUGCGGCGGAACACCGAUGGCGAAGGCAGCCCCCUGGGCUGAGAUUGACGCUCAGGCACGAAAGCGUGGGGAGCAAACAGG
rnacentral:rRNA from 1 species